AACAAGGUUUCCGUAGGUGAACCUGCGGAAGGUCAUUAUCGAAUAUAAACUUGGAUGGACUGUUGCUGGCUUUUCUUUGAGGGGCAUGUGCACGUUUAUCCUCUUUAUUUUUCCACCUGUGCACCUUUUGUAGGCUUGGAUUAUCAGUGGUUCUAACGUGUCUUUUCAAAGGCAUAAGAAUUGUUUUGGGACUGCUGUGUUUAAACGCAUGUUUAUCGGCUUUCCCUUUUAUUUUCCAAGUCUAUGUUUUGCUAUAUACACUCCAGAAAUGUAAUAGAAUGCUGUACUUUAGGUCAUUUUGUACCUAUAAUAAAAUCAGUACAACUUUCAGCAACGGAUCUCUUGGCUCUCGCAUCGAUGAAGAACGCAGCGAAAUGCGAUAAGUAAUGUGAAUUGCAGAAUUCAGUGAAUCAUCGAAUCUUUGAACGCAUCUUGCGCUCCCUGGUAUUCCAAGGAGCAUGCCUGUUUGAGUAUCAUUAAAUUAUCAACUGUGCCACUUUGGGUACAGAUUGGAUGUGGGAGAUUUCUUGCAGGCUUUUGACUUCUCUUUGAGAGAAAAAACAUAAGUCGGCUCUCCUGAAAUGUAUUAGCAGUGCCUUUGUUGGUUCAUUAGGUGUGAUAAUCUAUCUACUUUACAUGGUACCUUCAUCUGUAAAGG
rnacentral:rRNA from 1 species